UAAUUGAUCACUUGAUUAGUGAUUCGUAACACUCCCCCUUGAUCAAUUGCUUCAUGUAAUCUUGUAAACAUUAUUUGUAUAGCUCCUUCAAAAACCCUGUGGGAAAAAUAUGAGUGUGUGUCGGGCAUGCAUACCAGGCCCACGAGUAGACCCUGAACGGCCCACUAAGGGACGUACUCGGAUAUGACUAAGACAAGUGGAUAGGCGUAUCCUACUCGAACUAGUCAAGUAUGUAUAUGGAAAACUACUCGGGCCAUACCGAGUAGAACUCUGUAAUUGUACUCGACUAGGACUCGGACUUGUAACCCUGCCC
rnacentral:lncRNA from 1 species